rnacentral:lncRNA from 1 species
UAUAGACUAAAAUUGCCUGUAAGAAGCAACUAUAUCCUUGCGCAAGUUAAGAAGAGGUGUCUAAGGUUUGCAAUCACCGAUACCAGAAGUAGAUAUUAAAGACAGAAAAAGCAUUGCCACAACAUUUAUAGAACUCUAUGUAUGAAUGGGAUACAGCAAUCGACAAUUCAAGAUUUAAAUCCAAUAUUUGAUAGAUUCGCUUCUAACAUAAGGACCUCUUAUAUAAAGAAAAUAAGAUGGAUAUUCAAUAAACAGUUAAAAUAUUAUACAAAAAGAUCCCUUCCCUUUGAACAAGUUGCUACUGUCUUGUGUGAUGUUAGGUUGUCAGAAUAUAUGAAGCAGGUUAUCCAACUUGGCCCAAUGAAUGAUGUACUACCUAUAAAAAACCCU